rnacentral:siRNA from 1 species
AGCAAAGUCUGAUGGCCCCGCUUG